ACUGUGAUUGUAAAAAAAGCGUAAUAUGUAUCAAAACUUUGAGUUAUGUGAAAAAUGUCCCAAGUCUUAUUACCAGUUUAAAGUUUCAAUUACGUUUCUACGGUAAAGUAUGACGACACUGUGAUGCUCCAAAAUGUCCUUCAUUUUGAUCCUUCCUUCGACCGUUUCCCAUUCAUUUGUGUGUGGAAAUUAUUUGCAGUAUUUUGCGAUUUUUGACGCCACAUCGAAACACACAAGUCUCGAGGUUCUCACUAGUAUUCCUUGCAGCAGGCACUAAUAAUGUAGCUAAGUAUAUUGUACAAGCAAGUUCUUGCAUAACCCAUUCUGACAAUUCUUUCUUACUAAAGUGUGGAGAGCUCCCAGAGGGGGUUCAAAGCAGGUGUAGGAACAUUGACUUUGUCAUUGCUUUUACAUGUGCUCUGCUUGUCAAGAGGUGUUGGAUACUUCCCUUGUCCCUGGCAGUGAAAGCAGCAGAGGACGCAAGGGGAGAUUUUCUCUUUUCUCUAUUCUUUUUCUUUCUUUUUUUGUUUCAACUCAGACAUCACAGAUACCUGCAGGACACAUCAGUGCUGUCCAUGUCAGUCGGAGGCAAACCGCGUUUGACAGGCCUACAGGAGAUUCGGUUUGACCACGUUCUAGGGCAGCUGUAACCUUCCAGGUCUGAAUGAGAAACAGGUGGUGGGGUCGAGCAACGCUCUCUCGGCUCAAAGGAAAACACCAGAACAGCGUAACAGCUUACAUGAUGCUAAUAAUGCACAAAGCAUAUUGCCUGAUGAUGUGAUUUAAACGGCGUUGUGUAUUAAUUGUUUGAUUCACUGUGUUACAUGUGAGCUAAAUAGUAGCACACCUACUGCCUGGUUUUCUUCUUCUUCUUCUUCUUCUGAGGUGCUGUCUUCUCUGCCCCAAAUGACACUGCAUGUAUUUAUAACAAUGAAUAAACAGCAUAGCAUCGCA